ensembl:lncRNA LINC01717 long intergenic non-protein coding RNA 1717
UUCUCCUUACCAAACUCUACAAAUAAUCUUCUGUCUUAAGAGCACCCAGGAUGUGUUUUCAUUGGAAUUAGCUAGCCCUGGGAAAGACAGUCCCUCCAGAGUUAGCAACACCCCAAGAUGUCAAAGAUAAAAAUGCAAAAAUUAAAACUCCAUGAUUAACACAACUUUGAAGUCCUUCUCACUUGUCUUUAGAUGAAGGGCAACAUCAUUGCAACAAGUCACACUUUGAGAACUCAAGAGAAUAUGUUUGUUCUGAAAAUCCAGGAAUUAUUGCCAACCCAUGGUUGUCUCCAUAUGUCUUGGGAAAAAUAGGAAAAGGAUUUUUUGAGUUGGUGAUUUGAAUCCAAGACACAAAGAUUCAGGCUCUGGUAAAAAGAUUGUAUAGGCUAUAUUGGCUGACAUAAAAGAGACAUAAAAGGCACACAAUGAAAUCUUAAUAAAUGUAUUGGAUGUUGCAGCAUUAACUGAUGAGCCAGACAAUGUAAAGACCUCAGACUACCAAAUGUUUUGAAAGACGAAUAGUGAAUGUGAAACUGUGAACCAAAAUAGAUUUUUAGAAUCCUUGAAAAAAUAGAGCUAGAGAAAGUCUUUGAGACCAUUGAUUGCAAAUAUUUGAGUUUACAACUGAGCAAAUGGAGAAAAGAGAAGUGACUCGUCAGUCCAACAAGUGGCAGAAUCAGAACCAGACCCCAAUGCUUGGGUCUUCUGUCCCUCCUGGCACCAAAGUCACCUAUCAUAAGUAACUUGAGUUUCAGAGGGGAAGGAAAAGACUACAAUGUCCCAGCACUGUUCCAGACACUUUUUAGGGGACUCCAAGACACCUUGUGUAAUGCCUAUUUUAAGUAGCUGGAAGAUUCUAUAGCAUGGGAAAAGCCCACUGAAGGCAAAAGUAAACAUUACCUAUUGUGGUCCUGGAAAAGAAAAUCAUCUCUCAUUUAUCUCCUGGAGCUGUUUGACGAACUUGGUGCUGUCUCAGUGGAAUAGUCAACCAAUGUAUCCUACAUUUUGGACCAGCAGAAGGAAGUAAUGAGAACAGAAAACAAAUAAGAAGUGAGUUGGAGGGAGAAGGAGACUUUAGCAUCUUCCUGAAAUCAGGAAGAAAGUUUCAAGAAUAAAGUAAUCCAUAGG